CAUGGAGCCACAAGGAGCUUAAUCUAUAUUUGUUAAACUGGAAACCUGUAGCAUGUUCUUCUAACGCACCAGUAGCAGCAGAAAGGGCAAAUGUCCAGUGCUGUGCAUCAUGCUGUCGCUGUUUGCCUGAUCCCUGUGUAUGAGAUGAUUCACCUGCUGCAGAAUUUUUCUGUCUGUAUAGCAGAUUUUAUUAACCCCCAGAGAGGCCACUUUGGAAGCCGAUUUUUCCAUCCCAGACUGGGGUCCCACUAUUAACAGUCUUUCGUUUCACUGCACUGGGGACAGUGACACAAAAAAAGCAGUACUUUUCAGGGAAGAAAUGGUUCCUAGGAGGGGCCUAACAGCAGAGUUUGAAAAGCACCGUGUUCCCAAAGAAGGGCCAAGUUUUUCAGAAGGGCUGAACACCAAGCACUCCUGCUGUGACAGAUGGCUGAGUAUUUCAAAAGAUCAUGCCAUUAAAGCUGGCUGGAAAUUGUCUAUUCUCUUGUUUUUGACAGGAACUUGGGUUUUCUAUUAAAAAUAAUAAUGGUGCAGAAUGGGCAGAUUUCCUUUCAGCAUUCUAUUUUUAUGUGAGUGUUUUAAUUGUUUUGGUCAGGGAAAUUCUCUCUCCCAUGGUACAUUCCUUUGCAGCUUGCUGUGCUUGGAGAGACAUGCGGUAGCAGCCCUGCAGAGAGGGACUUGGGGGUACUGAUGGAUGAAAAGCUCAACAUGAGCUGGCAAUGUGUGCUUGCAGCCCAGAAAGCCAAACGUGUUCUGGGCUGCUUCAGAAGAAGUGUAGCUAGCAGACUGAGGGAGGUGAUUCUCCUCUGCUCUGCUCUCAUGAGGCCCCACCUGGAGUGCUGCGUUCAGCUCUGGGGCCCCCAGCAUGAGAAAGGCACAAACCUGUCAGAAACUGGGGAGGGACUCUUUGUCACGGGGUGUGGUGGCAAGACAGGGGAUAAU